UUCCUCUCUGAUUUUUCCAGGGAUCCACUGGUUGUUUAGUAGCAUGUCAUGCAGUCUCUACACGUUCAUGGUGGUUUUUUGUGAUUUUUUUCUUGCUCAUUUCUUAUUUUUCAAGUUGAUGUCUAGCUUUAUCGCAUUAGUCAGAAAAGAUGCCUGAUAGGAUUUCAGUUGUCCUAAAUUUACUGACACCUGACCUGUGACCCCAGGGGUGAUGGAUCCUGGAGAAUGUCCAACUUGAGAAGAAGGUGUUUGCUGCUGCUUCCAGGUGGCAUGUUCCUCAGUAUCAGCCGAGGCCAUCUGGUCUCGUGUGUUAUUUCGAGCCUGUGUCUCCGUACUGAGUGCCUGUCUGGACGAUGUGGCCGCUGAUGGAGGACUGCUCUCUUCCGAGACCCUCCACAUUCUGCCUGUGGAACGUGUAGCUGCCGGUAAACCUUUUGCUGUGCUGUGGCCCACACGUGAAUUCUCUCCAAUGCGAAGCCACGGACCCUCACUCGGCAGCCUGGACAGGACCAGCCCCCAGCACCCCCAUUUCCUGCAACAGUCUGACUUAUGUGUGUGCAAAGCUUUGAUGAAAACCAAAUGAGCAAAAAAGAAAACCUCUAUUAAAACUUCAGAAAGGACA